ensembl:piRNA 21ur-8363 ncRNA
UUAUAGGAUAAUACCGGAUUU